rnacentral:lncRNA from 1 species
GGCACUUGCAUGCUUUUGGGGUACAUACAGUACCGGGGUCACACGUCAGGUGCGCAGAUGCUGCCGGCUGGCCGCGACGGCAUGGUAAGGCACAGAGCACCUCGCGCCUCCCAACCACGCUCGCACACGCAGACGCUCACACCGCGCCCCAGCCCACAGCACCCAUCCCCUGUGCACUUCACCACUGCUCGAGCCUCACCUGGCCAGCUCCAGCCCGUCCGCCAGCGCGUCGUUGCGGAUCUUGAGCGUGUCAAUUUUGCGAGCCCACAGCCGCGCCUUCCAUGCCUCCGUGCGGCCCGACAGGCAGAUGGUCAGCUGCGCCUGCGCCUCGUGCCGCUGCCGGUCCGACCAGGCCGCCUGGUCCUGGUGUGCGGUCAUGCGGCCGGUCAGGUUCGCCACCUCCUGCUUCUGCCGCCGCACCUCCUUCUCCAGCUCGAUGCGGAUGAGCUCAGAGCGGUUGAGUGCGUUGCGAGCCAGCGACUCCUUGGCCCUGUGCGUGCAUGCGUGUGGGUGUACAUGUGUGUGUUGGCAGCCAAUAACAGCAGCUUUGGCCAGGGGCCGCGCUAGCCCACCUGCACGCACCAAGUCACACCGACAGCAGAGCACCCGAACCACACACACACACACACACACACACACACACACACACACACACACACACACACACACACACACACACACACACACACACGCCUUCACGGCGGCCUGUACUGCUUGUGCACAUCAGCAUGCGCACGUGCCUGGAGUGGUCCAGCUCCAGGUGCAGUUUGCCGAUGAGCGCGGCCUUGUCGCUCUUGCCGCUCAUGUCACGCAGCGCCGCCUUGAGGUUGGUGAUCUCGGCCAGGAAGCGAAGCCGGUCGCGGCCGGCGGCCUCGGCACGCCGCUCCGCCUCCUGCGCAUGAUACCGCGGUGCCAUGGACAAAGGGGGAUUGGCAUGUGAGGUGCUCGGCCUAGACGUUCCCACAUGCAGUGGCGCUGGUUGUUAUCCGUGGUUGAAUUGAUAAACCACAGUGCACAGCAGCACCAACAGCGCACAGCCACGAUAGACAGCCUCUUGCAGCCGCCGCCGUCGCACCUCGGCUUUGAACACCAGGUCGGCAUGGUUGCGCUGCACGUCUGCCGCCGCCUUCUCCGCCUCGUGCAGCCGCCGCGUCAUCUCGUCCACCUCGCCCUUGGUCUUGGCGCCCACCAGCCGCCGCUCCAGCGCGGUCGCCGUCUGCCGCGCCAGCUCCAGCUCCGCCGCGUUCUGCGCCAGCCGCUGCUCCAGCUCUUUGCCGUGCUCCUGCGCAAGCAAACAAGUCAUGCGAAUUGGUGAGUUGGGGACCCCUUGGUCCGCGUGCUAUGCCUGUCAUGACCCUUAGUCCUGUAUGCUAUGCCCCUUGAGCUUAUGCAUGUUGGCUAGUUGGAGCAGGCAAUUCCGCUUCGCAGAAGGGUAUGACACAGCCGAGAACGCGGCGGCUGUGUCUAUGAGCAGCAACCCACAUGCAUGUCCGCCAGGCUCUUCUGUGCGCGGUCGCGCUCACGCUCCACCAGCUCCGCCCGCCGCAACGCCGCCUCCUCCUGCACCCGCGCCGACGCCAGCUCCUGGCCCAGCACCGGGUCAAUGGACGCCGGCUGCUGCGGCCCGCUGCCGGGAAGCUGGCUGCCGUAGCCGCCCAUGCCGCCCAGGCCCGCGGAGGUCUGCCGCGACGGCGGCUUGGCGGCGACUGCCUGCGCCUUGCCGUCGGCGUCCUUGGCGGGUGCCGUGUCGGAGGCGGGCGGCGGGUUCGCCUGAAUGAGCAACUCCGCCUGGUGCAGCUUGGCCCUGUAGUGGUGGGUUCGCACGGGAUAGCACACGCUCAGGAAGCCCUGUUUCCUCCAUGCUUCCCUGCCAAGCGUCCCGCAAUGCGGUAGUGGAAAAGACUGAUGGCAACAGGAAAGGUUGGCCCACAACUCACUUGAGCUCUGCCGCGGCGUUGGCGGCCUGGUCGUAGCGCACCAUCCACUCGUUCACCUCGUCGCGCAGGCGCAGCAGCUCCUCCUGCUGCGGCGCCACCACCGCGUCCGCCGCCGCCUCCAGAAGCUUGCGGAACUCGUGCUGCAGCCGGCUGUGCUUGGCCACCAGCGAGUGGUACACCUGUACCGAUGUGUCGUGCGUAAUGUAUGAGCGUUAGGCAAGCAUUAGAAGAGGGAGAGAUAGAGUGGGUACGUGCGUGUGUGUGUGGUGAUAUGGCAGCUCGCAACGUCAGCCCGUGGUAGCAUGUCACCGCCGCCGUAACCCUUCCAUGCUCAAGCACUACUUCCCUCUCUGGCACCCGCCCUCCUCUCACCGUGAGCCCCACUGACGCCUCCAGCUCCCUAAACAGCUGCUCCAGUCGCCGCUUGGUCUGAUCGCCGCUCUGCUCCAGCCAACGGAUGCGGCCGCGCGCGGUGCUGCUGACGUCGCGCACCUCCUCCUCAAGCUCCGUCACGCGCGCCACCAGCGCCUUCUCGCCCGACACGCUGGCCUCCAGCUCACGAGCUAGCUUGGCUUGCUUGAUCUGUGAGGGUUGCCACACAUGCGAAGACAUGAAAACUUGUGUGUAGAGCAUGGCCGCGCGUAAAGCCAGGCAAGGGCUGCAGCGUCAGUUCCACCUGCCGCCGCCUCCCCCCCGAGCUCGCAACCACCAACCCCCCAACCCCGCCGCACCUGUACCACGGCCAUGCGGCGCACUGUGUCCAGGUACUCCUUCUCGACCUCGCUCAUGUCGCGGCUCUUGGACAACGUGUCCAGCGCCGUCUGCAGCUCGCGCGUGGCGAUCUUGUAGGCGUCCGCGUCCGCCUGCGCCUUACGGCCCUGUUUGGUGCAGGGCAAUGCGGAGGCAAGGACAAAAGCAAGCCGUCAGCGAGCCGUGCAAACGGUGCCGAGUCCAACCCAGCUCGCCUUGACAUCUGCAACCGGCAUCUUAGCACCUAGGCGCUUACCUUCUUCUCCAGUGUGGACUUCUCCACCUUCCAUGCCGUCUGCGCGCCUGCAUAUUCCCGGUACAGCAGCUUGACCUGCGGAGGAGGAGGCAGGCGCAGCCUCCCCGUCAGCGCCAGCCCUGGAACAAACCGGCUUCAAGCUCCGCCGCAAAGCACCGCACACGCUCCGGCUCCAACAGCGUAACCCGCACCGCCUCGACACUGGCGCGCCGGCAGUCCGCUACCGGCACCGGCGCCGGCCUACCUGAUCGCUGAAGGUCUGCAUCUUGCUGUGGUAGCGCAGGCUGGUGUCGUGCAGCUCCGCCGCCUCCUUCUCGCGGCUGGCCAGCUCCUCCAGGCAGCCGAUGAGCUGGUCCUUCAGCCCCGUCACCUCCAGCUGCAGGUCCUCAUACUCGGCCAUGGUCACGUACUCUGCGCAUGCAUAUGUGUGUGCAUGUGUGGGCAUGUGUGGGAGUGUGUGUGUGUGUGUGUUUGUGUGUGCACAUUGGGUGCGAGGGUACGGCGCGAAACAGGGUGACGGCAUGCGUGUGUUGUGUGUCAAGACUGCGCCGGAUAGACAUGCCGUUGACAGGAACCCUGUGUUGCAGAUACCGGGUUGGCUUUGGGAAAGCUGGCGCUUACCCGACUUGCGGUCGCCCAUAGUCAUGCCGAUCUUCUUCUCUAGCUCCGCCUUCUGGUCCAUCAGCUGCGUGAUGCGCACGUCCUUCUUCGACACGUCCACCUGCAGGUCCACAACCUGUGUACAAGGGGUGAAAGGGGCGGUGCGGGCCAGAGUGUGCCGCAACCGCAACCGCAGGUUUAACACGAUCAAACUGUGCUGGUAACAAGCGCAGGCUAGCCUCAACGCCAGCGCCACGUCCCGACGCCGCCCAUAUCCAACCAACCACCCAGCGCCCCUUGCCCCCUCCGCUCCCCUGCCCUCCGGGCCCCCUGCUGCGGCGCCAGCGCACCUCCCGCGCCAGCUCCUUCAGCUUCUCCCGCAGCUCGUCCGCGAUGGCGUCCGCCAAAUAGCUGGCGUCGCCCGGCACCAGCUGCACCGCACCCGGGCCGCCCAGCCGCGCGCCGGGGCUCAUCGGCCGGCCGUUGGCACCGGGGCUGCGUGGCGAGGCAGGGCCGCCGGGGCUGGGCGGCUGCUGCUGCACGGGCGGCCCCACCAGCGACGCGGGGUCCUUCAGCAGCGCCACCAGCACCUUGUCGGCGUCGGACAGCUCGGCGGCCACGUUCUCGGCGUAGCGGCCAUAGUCCUCAUCCUUGACGUUGCGGUGCUCAACUGCGGAACCGGAGAAGGUUAGGCAAGGCUGAAGGCAUUUGCCACGUGCAGUUAAUGAUUUGGGCUCAUACGCCGCAGCAUGACGACGUGUUUCAACUUAGGCGAAGCUAUGACCAUCCUCUGCCCACACACGCCGACCCAGGCAGCGCGCGCACGCAGCCGCCCACGCCACUUACACAGCGACUGGCUCAUCUGGCGCAGGCGCUUCAUGCAGGCGGCCAGCACCUUGCGCACCGCCUCGAUCUCCUUGGCCUUGAUGGCCGGCAUGGGCCCAUAGCCCGCGCCACCGCCGCCGCCCAUCAGCGCCGCGCCCUCGCCAGGGCCCAGGUAGCCGUCGGCCAUAGCCGACUGUAGGGAGGGUGGGCCGGAGCGACCCAUGCAGUGUGCGUAAGCGGGUGAAAAAGACAAAGAAAAGGCGUAGCAAGGAUGAGGCUGCAAGCCCGCGCCCAUUGCCCAAGACCUGCCUGCAUGGCGGUCUGGAAGGUGCCCAGGCCGGUGGGGUCGAACUCGCUGAGCGCCGGCCGCAUGCUGGGCGGGAUGUCGGCGUAGGCCAUCACCUCCGCCAGCCGCACCUCCAGGAACUCAACCUGCAAGUGCGCAUGUGUGGUGGGGCGUUGCUGUGCCUGUUCAUCCCACAAAACUCCGCGCUGGGCUGUUUGGUUAGUUUGGGCUAGUAUCUGCAAACCCCCCAUUCCCUUGAUGCCCUGACACAGACACAGAGCCGCUUCGCCCAUACACGAGUACAAAAACCGGCACGCCUCACCCGCUGCUGCAUCUGCUCCACCACGCGCGCCUCCUCCACUCGGUUGUUCUUCAGGUCAUCGGCGUACUGCUCCAGCAGCAGCAGCUUCUCGUUGGUCAGCCCCAUCUCCAGCGCGUGCUGGCCGUGGUACUUGGCGCGGAACUUCAUCUCCAUGCGCAGCUUGCGCCGCUCCUCCUCCAGGUCAGCGACCUGUGCACAAAGAGUCAAGGGGUUUUCAGGGAUGUCGCGCGUGGCAGUGCUGGGUGAGGAGCCGGAAGAGAACACACAUGCGUCCAGUGCACCCGUCAACCCCUGCAUUCCGCUGACCUCCUUGGCACCAGCUCGGCCUUACACACAACUCCAGCCCAGCCACAUCCCUCGCCGCCAGGGCCCCUUCGCCCCCCUCCCCCGCCAGGACCUCACCUGUCGCUCGAGCAGCGCGUUGAGCGCCCUCAGCUGCGCGAUGGUGGCCUCCUUCUGCAUCUUGAUGUCCUUGAUGUCCACCUUGUCGCCCUCGCCCAGCCCCGCGCGCUGCCGCAGCAUGGCGUUCUCGUCGUACAGGUCCUCAACCUUGGCCGCCUGCUUGUUCAGCUGCACGAUCAGGUCGCGCGUGCGCCGCUCCUCCUUGGCCAGCGCGCUCUUGAGCUGCCGGAUCUCCUCCACAGACUGCGGGAGCAGGAGCGAGAAGGCAAACGCAGUGGGCGUGAGAGGCAAGGGCACCCGGCACAGUGUGUUGGCGUGCUGACGUGUUGGGUGUGAUCAUGCUCCGUUUCGGCAGACAUCAAACCAACCGCGCAUGCGGCAUGCACCCUGCUGCCUUUCGACCAUACUUUAUAAGGCCCGCAAAGGAGUGCGCACACGCGUCCUGCCCUGUGGCACACACACCUGCGGCAGUCCGUACACGCCCUGCUCGUACAGCUUGUUGCGCUCCACCGCGUCCCGCAGCUCGCCCUCCAGCUCCGCCAUUGCGUCGCGCGUGUCCUCCGCGUCCUCAUCCUGCUGCUCCAGCUUGCCCUGCAGGAAGUCCACUCGCCGCUGCAGCCGCGCCACCUCCUCCGCCUGCCUCGCCAGCGCCCUGUCCACCUCCUUGCUCACGUCGUUCUCCAGCUGCUCGUACGCCUCCAGCAGCAGGAUCUGGCAGGGGCACAGGCGUGGUGGUGGGGGUUCCCGGAGCCGGGUGUUUCUUGCUGUUAUCAGGGCUACGCCAGGUGGCGUGUUCGCAUGCAUGUCCAGCACAACGCUUUCAGUUCGAGCGCACCAAGCCGAAUGCAGGUUAAAAUGAUCGGGGGAGGACAACUAUGGCCUCACCUCUUUCUCACGGGCGUCGUUCAGGUCACGGCGCAGCUCCGCAACGUCAGCCGCGCUGGCGCCGCCGGGGCCGCCUCCAUAUCCACCGCCGUCACCGCCAUCGCCCUUGCGUGUUUUGAGCUCGCGCCGCAGCGCCUCGAUUUGCGCCAUGAGACCAGCUUUCUCGUCCUCCCAAGAGCUACACACAAACACAAGCGGGAUCCACGCAAACGCAAUGAGCUCCUGCCAUAAUUGCCCUCGCAUGCUUCAAAGCCUUCCCCGCCGGACGCUCCACCACCCCAACCGCCUUCCCACCUGUACUGGCGCUUGAAGCGGUCCUCGAACUCAUCCAGAAGAUUCAUUUUGUCCUGCAGCUCGGCGCGCAGCUCAUCCUGGAUGGACAGCAGGUUGUCCUUGUCGUUGGCCACCUCCUCCACACGCGUCUCCAGCACCACAUUCUUGCUCAGCAGCUCCUGGUACUGCGUGUUCAGCUCCACGAUCUUCUCAGACACCUGCGCGGGACAGGAGCGGCGAGGGAGACAGGGUGAGCGGAAAGAUGCAAGGACAGGGCUGGGACGGUGCAGCCCCGUUGUGCCACCUUGCGAUGGCCGUUGCAGGGGCGGCCGGGUGGCCGAAUCACGCACACCGCGGCCGUCCCAUCGCGCCCGCGAUCCUGCCUCCACCGUAUGCAUGCACAGCCGCCGGCAGUCCAGGCAGCCGGCGCACCAGGCACAGUGCCACAGCCACCCAGGCACGCACCUCCAGGUUCUCCCCCUUGACGUCUUGCAGCUCCUUGCGCAGCUCCGUGUUCGCCACCUCCAGCGCCCGGUUGUCCUUUGUCAGGCGCUCGAUCUUCCACUCGCUCUGCUGCUUAGUGUCCUGCAGCUGCGCCUCCGCCCGCACGCGGUCGAACUCCUGGCUCAGCGAGCGGUAGCGCUGCUGCAGCUCCUUGUAGUCGUCGCGCUGGCGGUCGUGGCGCUCCUGCACGUCGCCCAGCCGCGUCUGCAGCCGCAGCAGGUCCUUCUCGCGCUCCUUGAUGCUGCGUGGCGGAAAGGGCGGGCAGGAGGUGUGCUGAGGUGGCCGAGGUCACGGCACGUCUGGGCGCUGGGCCGCUGGCACAGUUAGGUAAGUGGUGAGCAUGGUCGUCAUGAAGCGAGGCUUCAAUACCCGGACUGCCCCGCCCUUCGCACGACCACGACACAUCCGGCAACCCACUGGAUAGUCCACCUCAGUAAUGUGCACCACGCCCAUUUCCCCCGCCCUACCGCCCCCCAGCCCCACCUGUCCUCCAGCUCCUGGUUGCGGCCCUGAAACUCCUUCUCCACCUCCCGCAGCCGGGCGUUCUCCUCCUCCAGUUCGUCCAGCUGGUCCAGCAGGUCCUGGGGUGGUGGGGGCGGAGGAGGAGAUUAGGAGGAGGGCGAAUCACGGCGUGACAGCCGGGCACGGUCACUUGGCUUGAGAUGACACGCCACACGCUGCCUCAACAACAGCACGCAGGACCUAGUGCCCAGCCGCAGUGUGUAGGUGGGACAAUCGCACACCAGGCGUUGCUGCCGACACGCACCUCGUUGCGCCGCUUGAGCUCGCCCAAAUCGCCGCCGCCCGCCAGCUCAUCACGCUCGCGCAUUUCCCGCAAGCGGUUGUUUUCCUCGCGGAGCUUGCGAAUCUCAUUGUUCUGCGCAGUGAAACGGCGCCGCGUCAGGGACAGAGCAACGCCCGCAGCAUCUGCUGCCGCGCAUGUCCUGUCUCCUCUCCAAUGGACCGUCAGAGCAACCCAUCUUGCACAGUUUCCAUCUGUAGAGGUGCGUGUGCCUCCUAUUCCCCGGUUGCCCAGUUGCCUCCACGCGUCCCGUGCCAAGGCCACACGCUGCGGCCAGGCCCCGUCACGAUGCCAGCAGUGCCCAUUGUACCUGUCCCUAUGCAUCCCUGCUCACUCUCCGGCCCUGACUCCAACCAGCCUGCAGCACAGCCACCCUGCCUUGCCUGCAGCUCAUUGAAGUCCGCCGUCAACUCCUCAUUCUCUGAGAACUGCACGUCCAGCGCCGCUUGCAGGAUCCGCACCACCCGCAGCAGCGUGUCCACUGACUGCUGCGGCGGUGCAUUGGGGUCCACCAGCACCUGGCCCCCCUCCAGCUCGCGGGCCGCUUGGAUGACACGGUCCACAUCCGCCUCGUUGAGUGUGAAACCCUGCAGGCAAAUGCCGUUGAAGAGGUCACAGCCAGCCACCUCGCGUGCUGGCACACCCUCCACCGCCGGCGCAGGGUGCUCAGGCCCCAGCACCGCGGGGCCCUCAGCGCCUAAGCCCCACCUUGGCGACGGCCUCAGCCGACGGGGCGACGCGCAGUGUGAGCUCAUCGAGCUCCGCCCGGCCAAGCACAGUGGGCUUCGGUCGGAACUCAUAGUCGCCCUCAGCCAUUUGUGCUGACUAUCCAAGCGAGGCUCACUGCUCCAUGACUAUGGUAUUGAGGCUAGCCUCAACAGGGAGCCGCCCGCUGUGGCAGAAGAAGUGGGCUGUCGACUAGUCGCUAGGGAUUGUUGCCCGGCUGUUCGAGCAGUGAGGAGUAGUUCAGUAGCAGCAAACGGGUCAAAUGUGACAGUAAAAUGCUAUUGUUGGCUCGAGGGCUCGCUACCGCUAUGCCCAGCGACAGCUUCGCGCAGGUGAACGACUUUGCUAACGACGCUCACUUUCAAUUUAGUCUCAUGACGCUUCGGUAGGCAACGCCAGCCUACGUGGUUGCUGCCAGGCGAGAGGCCCAUUCCCUGCCAUUCUCUCUCGACAGCUCGAAUGAGGACCGGAACGAGCACCGAGUGUGCGACUGUGCUGUUAUAGCCCUUUAAUGAUUCCAUGUGUUAUGACGUAAAUUGAAAAUAAGAUAACAGUCGUUAGUGACGCAAACCUUGCUUCUUCGAAGGACCCCGUUUCCCAACUUGCCGAAUGAUUGCUAGUCUGUAAAUUUGUGCACAUAGUGCGCGGCAGAUUGCGCUUAGGCAAAUGUCGAACAUAACUGCAAGGCAGACGCUGACCCGCGAUGUCCAAAGCGUCGACGCGCUCGUUCGGCAAGCAUGCAAGGCGGAGGCGAAUGCGACAUUACUGCUGUAAGCUUUAGCUCGCAAGCCGGCUGAUGCUGGGACUGGACCUCACCUACUUGGAUGUCACGCUGUGUUCGUGUAUGCGCAGAGGCACUGGGCUGCUAAAUCUGACGGCCGUCGACGACAAGGACACGGUGGUUGGGUACCUAAGCCUGUGAGAUAUCGCUGCAAGGAAUCGGGAGGAUGUAGGGCCGUGGUGGGGCAUACCGCGGUGGGCGGGUUAGGGCUGAUACAGCGUGAGCAUGCAGCACCGGCCAUGCAUCAGCUUGCCCCUGGCAGCUGCACAAAGACCGUUGCGGACAGCGUGGUGAAGUGCCUGCGUCGAUGCACCACUUGCACCGCCCUCCACCUGUACCGAACUGACGACCGCUUCUACUCUCCGCAGGGAUGACGUGUCAUGCACGCGGCUGGGGUCAGGCGGGCCGGGCGCGGAUACCUGGGUACAACAGGCGGCGGCCUCCCGCUUCAAACUGGGCAGCACAGCCUUCGUGCGUGUGUGCGCCACCGCGCACCUGUCGGAGAUUGAGGCGUCGGCGGCGCUGCUGCGGACCGCCUUCCUGCACAUGCCCUCGCUGCAGACGCUGCUCAUGGUGGCGGGCGGCGAGCUGUCGUUCACAGAGCCAGGUGGGAGGCUAGGCGGCUGGCGGCAGUGAGGGCUGGCGGCAGAGGAGCUGGCUACAAGGGAGGCCUGGGGGUGCCAUGGCGCCGUGUAAAGGGCAUGCGGCAUGCGUGCAGAGGCUAGGGGGCUGGGCCGUGAGACUGGACUGGCCAGUUUGUGCUAUGGGACCGCAACCGGUCCAGUUUUUGCCGCCAACUUAGCCUACACCGUACAUCCACGCACCUUGCCCGUCUUCUCACCCACGCCUAAGUAAGCACGCCCCGGGCCCCCUGCUCCCCCCCAAAGGCUUGGCGGCGGUGUUCAGCCGCGUGGGCGCGCACAAGGAGAGCGGCGCGGUGCUAUACGAGGCGGGCCGCGACGCGGUGGUGCCGCCGCUGGCCAUCCGGCCCGCCCGCGUGGAGGACCACGACGACAUGCUGCCCAUCCUGCAGCGCUGCGAGGUGGCCUUCCCGGCGCUGGCCAAGCUACCGGAGGCCAGCCGCCCGCACGAGCCGUUUGCGCUGACGCGCGUGGUGGCGGGGCAGGACGAGCGCAACCGGGUGCUGGUGGCUGAGGCGGAGGGGCGGCUGGUGGGCUUCAUCGUCAUGACCAGCGACGUGGACACGGGCAGCCUGGCGGAGACGUUCGACCUGCACGCGUACGACAACUUCUUGCCGCCCGAGGUGUACGAGCAGCAGUACGAGGCGGCGCGCGACAGCGUGCGCGGCCAGAAGCUGGCGAUGCUACGGCACCAGCGGCAGCAGGAGAAGGAGGCGGAGGGCGAGGGUGCUGGAGAGGCCGGCGGCCAGGGCGGGAAUGGCGGCGUGUCGGCGGGUAUGCAGACGGACCCGGAGCAGGGCGAGGACGGGGAGGGAGCGGCCGAGGGCGAGGGCGAGGGCGCGGGAGAGGGUGCGGGAGAGGGCGGUGCCGCCGCUCCUGGCACUGGCGCCGACAAGGCGGACGACUCGGAGGAGGCGGAGGCGCAGCUGCUGGCGGCGGCGGAGCCGACGGAUGAGGAGACGCGCGCAGAGAUGCUGGCCAUGUUUGCCGGCCAGGCCCCGCCAGCCGACCCCACGCUGUUCGCCGUCACCAUGCUCUGCAUGGACCCCGCCUUUGAGGCGCAGGCCAUUGAGUUCCUCACGCCCGCCUUCGCCGCCUACACCGACAAGCUGUACUGCGUGGUCACGCUGCCGCACGACAGCCGCGAGCCGGCGCUCAUGGGCACCAUGACACGCGUGGCGCCAAACCCUGGCAGCCUCUUCCCCGAGGUGCUGUUCAUGUUCCACCGCCACGCGCUCAUCCCCGACUUCGCGGUGCGACUGGGCGAGCCCGGCGACCUGGACGCCGUCGCGUCGCUGGUUGCCGGCAUGCCCAACGCCGACGACAUCGUCGCCUCCUUCAGCGGCGCCGCCGCCGCCGGCAGCGCCGCCGUGGCGCUGUGCCAGGGCGAGCUGGUUGGCCUUGUCACCGUCAACCCGGAGGUGGACCUGGAGCUGCUACAGGCCAACUUCGGGCUCUCCAAUCACGUGGACCUCGGCUACCAGCCGCGCGAGCAGCACGGCGAGAUCGACAUGUACACCAUGAACCCCAUCUUCGUGCACCGGCACCGCACCUUGGUGGCCGCCACCAUGCGGCUGCUGGGCAAGACGGCGCUCUACUACGCGCUGCCGCCGGGGCAGCAGCCGCCCGACAUGCUGGAGGUGCUGGAGCAGGUGGCGCCGCGGCACCGCACCGCCAGCGACAAGCAGCUGCAGGCGGAGUUCGCGCUGUACGUGUUCACGCGGCAGGCGGCCUUCAAGAGGCGGCGGUCGGUCAACUCGCAGGUGCGUGUGAAGGCAGAGCGAGAAGGAGCGGGGAUGAGGAGCGGAGCGGCCAGGGGAAGGGAAGGGAAGGGUGGGGAAGGGAAGGGAAGGGAGGAGGGGGGGAAUGGAAAGGGGAGGAGGGGAGAGGAUGGAAUAGGAUUACGUUAUGGUGUGCCGGGUGUCAUGAAAGUCCGAAAUGACCAUAGCCGAAACAGCAAGGUUAACACCAUGCCAGUUCCCUCAGCCAUCGUGGGUCUGCUUCGCUUGGCCCCCAACCUCCUGCCUUACCCCACUCGCCCCUGGUUGCCCGCUCCCUCCAGAUCGUGGUGGUAGGUGCCAGCGAGUGCGGCCUGGCGGUGGUGGAGCGGCUGCUGCUGGACCCCGAGCUGCAGUUCAACUACCUCACACUGCUGGCGCCAGGCGGCAUCAAGGUGGGCGGCAUGGCCUGCCAGUUCACCGCCGGCGUCAUCGCGCGCCUGGGCCUGGAGGCGCGCGUGAUGCUGCUGGACGCCGAGGUCAUUGGCCUGGAUCGCGGAUCCAAGCUGCUGGAUCUCAGCGACGGCAGCCAGAUCUUCUACAACCAGCUGGUCCUAGCGGCGGGGCUGCAGGACCAGAGCCGCUACCGCUUUGCAGAGGCGGAUCCCGAGGUUGCGGGGCUGCUGGUGACAGAACUGGAGCUGGCGGCGGACUUCAGCAUGAACGAUGCCAUGGUGAUGAACAGCAUACUGGUGUAUGGGAAUGCGAUGGGCGCGUACCAUUCGCUGGCGGUGUUGGAGGCCAAGGGCGCGGGCGAGAAGACGCGGUUCGUGGCGCCGCCGGGGCAGCAGCCGCCCCUGGUGGGCGUGUUGCACGCGCUGGCGGGCGAGGCGGGCGUGGCGCUGCCCAGCCCCGAGCCGCGCGACCUGGCGGGGCUGUCGGUUGUGCAGCCGGUGGGGCCGGAGCUGCACGCCAGCGCCACGCUGAUAGACCCGGCUGACCCCGGGCCGCGGGAGGUGAGCGGGGCAAAGGAUGUGCGGGUGGUGUGCGCGAGCGGGGUAGGAGGAUGGGCGUGGGCAGCAUGAGAGGAUGCAGGGCCCAGACGCGUGGGGAUGCGGGGCAAAAUGUCAAGCGCCAGGGCGGCAUGUCGCGCUGCUCCUAUACCCCGUGCAGUCGCCUGCUUUCCACAGUCCUACCUUCUCACUCCUGCCAUUAUUCAUCCCCCAAGCUUGGCUUGGUUUGGUUUAGUUUCGGCUGGUAUUCACAGUCUUCCCCUGUUCCAUCCCUGCUCGCACCCCCUCUCCAACAGGAGCUGCCCGUGGACCUGGUGGUGGGCUGCGAGCCGCCCUCCGUGUCGCGCUCGCUCUUCACCUGCCUCAACGACGCCUCGCUGGUCUUCGACGGCCGCCUGGUCGUGGACGGCGCCUUCCGCACCAACGACCCAGCCAUAUACGCCGGCGGCUCCCUCGCCAAGCUAUCGCGGCGCUACGGCGGCACCCACCUGGAGCACUACAACAGUCGCGACGUCGGCUCCCGCCUCGCUUCCAGUCUUGUCUCCUUCUUCAACGCCGGACCAGACGAGCCGCAGCCCGCCGCGACGGCGGCGGCUCCGCCGCCGGCGCUGCACCGCGCGCGCGCGGUGGGCUGCUCGCUGCCCGGCGGGAACUACUUUGUUUACGCGGGCUGCCCCGCGGCGCUGCAGCGGCCCUCCACGGCGGCGCCGGAGGGCGGCUACGAGAUGAAGACGGCGUCGGAGCGCGGGCUCACGCGCAUCACGCUGGACGGCGAGGGGCGUGUGCACAGCCUGAUGUAUCUGGGGCGGGUGGCGGUGAACGCGCCGCGGCUGGGGUCGCUGGUAGGGCUGCAUGCCAACUACCUGAACAGCCUGGCGCCCAAGUACCAGGCCGGAGACAUCAAGUGCCUGCUGUCCUUCAUCACAGAGCCCUGGUGAGCCCUGGGGUUGCAGCGUGCCUUCCAUGUUUGUGGUGGGUUGGGUUCGGGAUGUCGGAUGGACUCUUGUGUGAAGGACGUGUGUGUGGUGGACAGCCCUCAGUGUAGCCCGGUUUCUGCACUUCUGCUCCUGCUCAAACCAUUCAUUGCCGCAUCACACCGCUACGCAGGAGCGAGUUGCUGUACAACGAGUCCUUCCCGGAGUUGCGUGAGACGCUGCUGGAGGUGGCGCUGGCGGAGCUGUCGGCUGGCGGGCGCGAGGUGGACGGCGGCAUGGUGGAGUGGGUGACGCACGCGCAGGACGCGGUGCUGGAGUUUGCGCGCGCACACGCGGCAGAGCUGCCUGGGUACACCAUGCCCUCUGCGGCUCGGACGUAGUUGUGGUGAAGUGGUGGUGCCAGUUUGCAGUGCGGCAGUGUGUCGGGCAUGGUGCGGGGACCGUCGGUUGCUUGGAGGGAAGUCUCAAGGCAGCUGGCAAGCAACUUGUUCGAGUGGGUUUGGUGCAGGGUGUUGGGAACUUAAGGCAGGUUACAAUUGGUACGUGGGUCAGGUGGUGACAUGGCACUGCAGAAGUGCCCCGUCUGGCUGGGCUUGGGGAUCGCAAACGCCAGUCAUGGACUGACUAUGAAGUGUAAGGCAUGCUACCCAUUUUGAUAAUGCGGUUGUCGACGCACCCGGCGCAGUGCGCUGCCGCUCGACCGCUGGAGGGGUCGCCGCAGCACCGUGCCUGCAGCACCACGCCGCGCCGCGCAUCAGGCACGCCGGGCGCAGUUGGGAGUUGAGGCAGGGCUCGUAUCUUGAUCUUUCUGGAAGAAAAUGGCCCCCAAUCCGACCCUCUGAGAGACACCGGGCCAGUGCUCGUAUCUUCCAUCUACGUUGUAGAAAUUUGCCCCAAAUCCGCCGAAGGCGGAGAAGUUUUUUGGGGUUUGGGGCCGCGCAUGUACGGAGUGUAGACGUUUUGGGCGGAUUUGGCAGUAUCUUAGACAGCAGGAAGCGUAGAUGUUCUGGGGGUUUGGGGGGCGUGCCCCUAGGGAAAAUGUUCUGGGCGCAGAUGGCGCGGGCGGGGUCAUCUACGCUGUGUAGACGCCGGGGGCCUAAAGCCAUCUACAAGAUACCGGUACGGUACUGCACCGGGUGCCGUCCGGCGAAGAGCUGAGCAAGUACAAAAAACUCCCUCGCCAGUGCUACAUGCUCAUCAAACAAUGCCUCAAAGCAAAAGUGGCUUACUCCCUCCCAGCCAUGGCAUACACGCAACACGAUAUCCGGGCACUGGACGCCCAAAUCGCGGGUAUCACCCGUCGGUGCGUCGGCCUACCACGCGACUGCGCCACCCGCGCCAUCCUUCUGCCUGCCGAGAUGGGGGGCCUAGGAAUAGGCUCGCUCCGCGAAGAGUAUGUACAACGCGCCUCCAGACUGCUCAUGAUUUCGCUGAACGAUAACGGCAGGCUAGGCGUAAUUACGCGCCGCCUCCUCCACCUCCAAGCGGCGCAGGCGGGGAGCGACCUCCCGCUGCACGACAUGCGAAGAGCGGGGAAAUUUUUUGUUACCCUGAAACAACUCACCCUCCUUCAAGACCACGACCUGCUGGCCAUGCUGCAAGGCAAGGAAUUUGCAGCCGCCCUACCAACACUAGUGUCCAAACUCCGAGCCGCUGAGGCGAGCACGCCCGCUUACCUGCGAGCUGACUGGAUCAGCCCCCUGACAAUAGACCUUGGCUUGAACCUGGCCGACCUGGUGGACGCAAAUACGGGACGGCACAUCAUUGACACUGUACAGCUGGAUCGGCGAUUUCCAAAAGGCCGGGUAAAAGACCGGCACAGGCGCGCCCUGAACCGCUUCACUCACGCCCUAUGUACCCUAUGCAAACUUGCAGACACACAACCUAAGCCGACCGCCGGUACUAAACCCCUCCCCCUGCACAACCGAGCCCUACCCAAUGGCGUCUCCAAGACAGACCUUCGGACAGCUGGCGACCUGCCUAAACCUAUACCCCAACGCACUCUCACCUCUCUACUGGAGCGCUGGCAGCAGUCGACACCUCCGAGGCCCUCCGGAGCCCCGGCGCGGCCGUCUUUGGAAGUCCUGCAGGCCAAACCAAAGCCAACGGCAAAGCAACGCCACAAUCACUUCAUCAAAUACGACACACGGACACGCAAUCCCGCAGUCGAGGCCAAUGACGCUGCUCUGCCCGGAUCCACCCUCCAUUACCCUUCCGACCCCACGAGGGACCUAACUUUCUAUAUGCACGCAGCACGGGAGUUUACCCCGCUCGUCAAACAAUGCAAAACCCUCGGCACCACACGAUGGACCGGCUCCUGGCGGAUCCCGCCAAGGCGGGUCCCAGCCCAUGCCGAGGCGGCGGGCCCCCACACCCACGCUACCCACGAACUACUUGCUUCCCGCCCCUACCAAGCAGUCGCUGCACCUGCUCACCAGCGGCUCGAGCUACCAGACGGGUGCCCCACCGCAGCCACAUCACCCACGCACACGAAACCGCCCAACCGCCGCAAAAGCAGCGCUCGCCCCACCCGCUGUCCACACACGCACCACGCAGCGCCGGCGAGGGGCCUCCCACCGGCAGCCGCGCAGAGAGGGAACCGCGCGACCGCGCAGCCAAGCGCCAGACCUGCAUGGCGCAAAGCCAGAGACACAGCAUUAAAUGGCGCACUGCCCCAGUCCGACGCUGGGAAGCUAGCGGCACAACACAUCACAGCCCACCUGGCUAACCGCGAUGACAUCAUUGCCGCGGUUGUCAGUGGGCCCAUGACACAUAAAACCAAUGCCCCACCACCCAAGAGAAAACGGAAACUGGACCCGCCGCCAGAAGAACCCCCCUGGGCUGACCGCUGCCGCUACAAAGUUCGCUGGCAACCAACCCUCACCACGAACGGUAUACUCAGCGCCUAUAAGAUACAGAACUACGACGCCAUCAACGCCACAAAACCCUCAUGUAUGCUAUGGGGACAGGGCAUCCGCCGGUUUAUGGCCCAGGUGCACUGGGCCGACACGGAAGACCCGCUCUCCUCCCUCUCACAGAACCCCGGCUGGGCGGCCGCCCUGGCACGGUACACCCUUGCCCAAGCUGAAGCACCCCCCGACCCCACCCCACCCCCUGCGCUUGAUACCCACCUCACCAGCAAGCAGCGCCAGGGCCGGUGGCGGGACCCAGCACCCAGCAUGGCCGCACGAAAACGUGCCACUCUCCGGUGCUGCACCAUUGACACCAACUCCUGCAACCCCGACACAGACAUUCAUCCGACAGGUCAGUAUUGUAUCCAGUUGGGCACACGAACACCCGGUCUAGCCGCCGGCACGGCGACCGACCCUGACCCUACCGCCAGAGUAUACGGACCCGACGGCCGAUGCGUUGGAUCCAUCUCGGCUACUCGCCUCGCCCUCCUCCACGCCCGCUAUAGGGCGCUCAACCCCACCCAACCCCCGAAAGCAUUCGCCGCCGCCGUAGCCUCCCUGCUCACACGAUAUCGCCCCAGUAAACGCCACAAAGAGAGCUCCACCAACCCAGCGCACGAGGUCACCCUCUGUCCAGACCUAAUGUCCACCCUUACCUCCCAUCUUAAGUUCACAACAGAAGCAUUUGCCUCCCCCCUCAACGCUACCGGCAACAUACCGGCCUACUACACGGCACACCCCGAGGACGCAGUGUUCGGGGCCGCCCUCGACUGCUACAGCCGACUCCUACACGAUGUGUCAUUCCUCCACCCACCACCACAGCCCGAACAAACCAACCUGGCAAUGGCCUGGGCGGUCGCCAGCGCUGAGGCAGCGGCAGCGCAAGCUCCACAUUUGUCAGUCGUGGUCGUGCCGUAUGGCGAAACCAGUGGUUACACGGCCUGGCUCCAGCACCCACUGGUCCACGCCCUGGGACAUAUCCGACCGGCACACACGUGGGCCGCCAUGGCCUCCGGCCUAGGUCAGCCGCUGGAGCUCCCCGCCCACCGGCGCGGACUCCAUCUCCUGUGUGUGGCAAACGAGCCCGGCCGGUUAAUUCUCAACACGGCCCUGGGGAAUGGACUAGCGGCGGCGCUGUCUGGCGCCCUUGGACACACUCCACAGCCUGCCGCCCGCAAGCCCUUGCCGAACCCAGACGCACCUAAACCGUGGCCCAAAACCCCUCGGAAGCUGGAGCGUCGCCUCCGCACCCACACCACCCCGACACCCCUACCACAGCCCCCCCCGGCCGCCCCCACACCCCCAACCCCCACGGAGCUCGCAGCCCUCUACCCCAUAACCAUUCCUCUCGCACACACGUGUGGCUCCGCCGUCUUCACCGACGGGAGCAAGGUCCCACACUCGAGCGACUACACAGGCCUGGGAGCAGCGAUCUGGGACGAAACUGAAAACCGCACGACGCAUAUAGAUGAAGAUAUCGCUUUUGACACUCCCCUUAGCACUAUUCUCAGAUGCGAGUCGUCGGCUAUACGCAUGGCACUUAGCCUCAACCUUGACUUGCCCCACCUGCGGAUUUACACCGACAGCCUUGUCAGCCUGCUUAUCCUUCGCCGUGCCAUUCUGGAGCCCGAGUCGCUACACGUCAGCAAACAUCGCGAAAUGUUCGGGGCCAUCACUGACAUACUGGCCCAACGUGGGUUGGCAGGUCUGAAGACAUACUUCUAUCACGUCCGUUCACACCAAGCAGAUACGUGCGUAGGAAAUCAGAAAGCCGAUGAGGCGGCACAGGCAGUGGCGACUAGAGAAACCCCGCCGGACGCGGUGGAGACCUUGUACUCGCACCCGUUCGAGACACUAGAGGGCUGGAUUGCUAAGAGAGAAACUGUUGAGCACAAUGGCAACGUAGAGGAACGGUUACGAUACGCCAACGACCUCAAUCGCGACCUGAAGAAAAUGGCCCGGCCCUCCACGGCCCAGGGAUACACAAAAACAGGCUUAUACGCAGAACUGUGGGACGCUACCAGGCAGCACAUUGACGCUAGAUAUGGACUAAACCUGUUCGAUGGCUUCCCGUUCGAAGAAGCACGCUGUGCCUUCAAAUACCGAUGGGGGCUCUCCUGGAACGCCAAGCGCGCCGCCCGUGUAAAACACCCCAUACCCGGCUGCGCGGGGGGCGAAUGCCCGCUGUGCCGAUGCGACGACGGUGGCACGCACACCCUGGGCGGCUGCACCCACCGGCGUAUGAAAGCCGCGUACAUCGCGAGGCACAACCGCGCCGUUCAACGGAUCGCGAAGGCAGUAAGUCAAGGGCAGAACGGCGGAUGCGUUAUGUACAUGGAUGCAGGAAAGGACGCCCCCGCUUACAGUGGGGGAACACGCAUACCCGCAUGGGUGCUGCCAGGCACGCCAGAGAGCGUGCGACUACGAUUUCGCCCGGACCUGCUGGUCGUCCCCUCCUUACGCAUGACCCGAUCUGGGCAGCCUACUAAUAUGCCUCGCACGCGACUCCAGAGAAGCGCGCAUAAAGUCUACGUAAUAGAAGUGGGCUACUGCUCUGACCUCAAUCACCUGGACAAAAGGGCAGAAAAACUGCAACAACAUGACGACCUUGCCACCGCACUCCGCACCGCCGGAUGGGACGUGAUACACAACCAGGACACAAUCAUCAGCCUCGGACAUACCGGCACCGUUACCACCCACCUCCAUGCCCUGCUUAACACGCUCGGAUGCUCAACACAAUCUGCGCACCGCACCUGCCAAAAGCUUGUCCAGCACGCUGUUCACACGACUACCGCCAUUACAGCUCUUCGCCGGGAACUCUGCAGUCACCCAUGGCCAGGACGCCCACCUUAGCACAGUACGCCCCGUUGUGAGAGUGGGACCAGGCCCAGCGCGCCUAGGCGCGCUGCCAGCCUCCCCACUCUCCUUGGGGGACAGGGGCCCAGUGGCGGAGACCACUAAUGUGGUGGUCUCUCAUGCCCUCACGCCUCUACCUCCUCAGAACACGCCCUGUCACGCAGGGAGUACCAUUAUUAUUAUUAUUACCAUCUACAAGAUACCGGUACGGUACUGCACCGGGUGCCGUCCGGGGCGGGCGGCUACCUUUCUGCACAGACAAUGUUUGAGGGUACCAAUCUUCCAAAAGGUCCGUUUUCGGGGGGCUGGUUGGGGGUGGAGCUCCCAAAACCCCUUCAAACGGCACAUUUUGGGCCCAGGGGCGCCGUAUGAAACAAAGAUUGAGGGAGUACGGCUUCUUUCGGCCGGAAAUCGGCCACCCCCAGCAAGUAAGGUACGAGCCGCUACGAGCCCUGAGUUGAGGAUGUCGAAGACCCGCGGCUUAGGGCUUGCACUUCGGGGAGCGGCAACAAACGGGCCCCAAUGCAGUGCUCGUAUCUUGUAGAUGCCCUCAGGCACCCGGCAUCUACACAUGCGUAGAUGACCCUGACCGCGGCAUCUACACUUAAGCCCCAAGCCCCCCAAAACGUCUACGCUUCCUGUUGAAGUUAGGGCAGCGGACUUAGCGGGAUUGCGGCCUGCCCCCUCCCCCAUGCAUGACGGUGCAAUGGUCUAAGGAGCGUAUAGGGCCGAGAGCAAGCCCGGCCUGGACUAAGUCACACGUUAGGAGAGUACAAGCGAGAGGCUACAUGGACACGAUGCGACUGUGCACCACUGUACCUAAGCGACUCAACCUGGUGACCCUAGUCUCAAUGACCCAACGACCCUACUAGACAACACUGUCAGCUAGCUCUAACAGCAGUAUUUACAACAGGUUAUGAGCCCCGCCUCGUGCGGUGGCGUAGAAUCUCGAUAUGUAGCGCAAAUUCUGUCACGUUUCGCGUGAUGGUUGGCAUAACCAGCCCCAAAGCCUGCAAAGCUUCGUUGGCGGGUUGGAGGAAGCCCUCAGAAUAAGUAUCAUUACUUCCUCGUGAGCUCUAGAGGAACUACGGAGGAUUCCAACGCUUGGAGAACAUUCCGCUCGUCUACCACAAGACGACUGGGCAAGGAUCUUCGGCAUGGCUCAACUGGAGUAUAGUGUCAAAUCUUGAGAGACUUGCCGGCGCGGCCAAAUGGACGCGGGGGAGCUCGUGCGACUGUCUCAGUACGCAACUUCAUGGGGCGGUGGGCGCCCUGCCCAUCCAGCACGACCGUGAGUACGGCUGCGGCAGUCAGCUAUGGCGAUAGCAAGCACAUCAGCAAGGCACUGAGCUUGAGCAGGGCACUUACUUGCUUAUGUUUGGUGGCUGAGCGGGGCCGUAAAGCAGAGGUGUUGCCCGUGUCAGAGGUUGGCAGGGGCUUGCUGGUAUCAGUCGGUAACGUGGCUGAGACUGAGUGCUGCUCGAGGGGGGGGUAUUGAGACUGAACGAUCAGCACUCAUGGUGUGCGUGUCAAGGUCUUAACUGCUGCACGCUCAGCUAGGAUAUAAGGUCCCACAGCAUGGGGGACAGAUGACAUCCGGUUGCAUCCUUGCAGCAUGGAAGCUAAACCCCCUUCUCGAUAGUGGUGACAAGAAAUUGAACAGCAGUUCGGGGUGUGUCAACGAAGUGUGCUGACGUCUUGGUAUGUGGCUGCGCAGUGUCUGAGGUACAAGACCACAUGCGUUUGUGUUGACGGAGUCUGAGUGCCGCUGUGUAGUCCAGGGCCUCAAGCUGGCGCUGCGGGCUGGUAACUGCGUGUACCGUAUGCCCUUUGAUACCGGUAGUGGUUGCUUUCCUGGUAUUUUAGGUAUGCAAGGGUAUAUUAUUGUGUCAUCUGGACGGUAGUGACAGCUACACCCGGUCGCUUGGUCCAACCGACCGCUUGUGGGAUCGGGGCCUAGAGUGCAGUUUCAUGCCCGAAUGCCUCACCAGCGUCUGAUCAACCUGGUGUGCGCUGGGGCGGUGAGCGGUCUGGAUCCGUAAUCCGUAUACCUGUGGCGUGACACUGCUAGUGACGGUGUUGAUGGUGUGUUGGGAAACGGGGGAGCUGCCUAAAGCAGUCGACGGGAGGCUUUGUGCUGGGUGCCAUGAAGAGGCACAUGUUGCAGUACUCAAGUAGAGAGUGUGGUUGAUGCAGUCUAGCUCUGUUCCGCAACCCAAGUACACGCAGUGGUGCCUGUGGUGAUACGUGAGAGAGCUUCUGUGCGUAUUGAGAUUGGAGCGGAUGCGCCGCUUCGCAGGUAGUUGGUGAUGAGGCAGCGGGCUAUUGUAGCUGCAACCGGACUUGCAACCAACAGUAAUUGGAAUCUUGGGAAGUGUCUAAUGCUCUGGUGAAAGCGUAUGCGCUCUGUAAGGAGCGGGUGUUCUUUAAGCUUGAGGCAAGUUGUAGCGCGGCUAUCCAGAGUGCCGGCUGUAAGCUAGGGAAGCAAGUCACUUAACCCCAAGCGAGCGAUGGAGUGCCGCUCACGGGGGAGUGCCGUAUGAUAUUCGGCACCCACAUGGAGGCAAUGGAGGACAACAAGGGGAACCGAAUGUACAGUAGCGCUUGCCCUUGGUUGUUUACUCGAGCUUGGCAUGGAGCAUGCGGGAGCUGGCGAUUGUCGGAGAGGGGUUCUUGAGUGUUGUUCAUGGCGCAAGUGAGACACCGCCAACUUGACUGCGGAUGAAGACAUGAUUGCGUAUGCGCAGACGUGCGCUUAGCGUGAUAGGACUUGGUGACUGAAGCAAGCGGGUGUUACGCAGGGGCCAAUGCGGGAACGCCGUGACUAGUAUGAGGCGUACGUUAGCGCAUGCUAAAUUAGAAUCUGCGCGCUUCGGCGGCAACCUAGGACAGCGACGCGCGUAGCGUGCUGAGGAGGCCUCAAGCGAUGCUACUGCUUGGAGGAGUGUUGCGCUUGCGCGUGAACACGUUUAGUACGAGACAGUGAUCACGAGACAGUGGUUCACACGGCAGCGUUCGUGCGUGCAGCGGAGACUGCAGCAAACGCUUCGCAUCAUGAGUGUACACAUGGUGGCGAACGAUGGCGCGGAAAACGGUAUGUGCUGCAUACUGAGGUGGCUUCAGACGUGGAAGUGCUGAAGGCUAGAACUAGUCAAUUUAGAACGUACGGUUGUCACUGGUUGUCGGUUGAGUUACCGAGUUAGGGGCCAGGUAGGCGUGGAAGACCUUCCUGGGUGUUGCUGGUCCAUUCAUUGUGUUAGGACAUUCAUGCUCAGGUUUCGGUUGAAACUGGUUUGUUGCUACAGUAUGUUUCGACGUGGCGGUAGCGUUGCGAACUACUGACGUUUGUUACUCAUGCGGGUGAGUGUCAGUCCGCGGGGGAGUGUUGAAGUUAGGGCAGCGGACUUAGCGGGAUUGCGGCCUGCCCCCUCCCCCAUGCAUGACGGUGCAAUGGUCUAAGGAGCGUAUAGGGCCGAGAGCAAGCCCGGCCUGGACUAAGUCACACGUUAGGAGAGUACAAGCGAGAGGCUACAUGGACACGAUGCGACUGUGCACCACUGUACCUAAGCGACUCAACCUGGUGACCCUAGUCUCAAUGACCCAACGACCCUACUAGACAACACUGUCAGCUAGCUCUAACAGCAGUAUUUACAACAC